GUUUUACGCACCGUUUCUUGAUUCCGAAACUAGACUCGUAUAUCUUUCUGAAUAUGCAUGGGUUGUGUCGUGGUUCUUUCUAGAUUAUAGCAGUUUUUGAAUUAAAGUUCAGGUUUUGGUACUUCUGAAAUUCUGGACAGCUUUUGGCUUGUGUUCGUCAUGAAAUUCCUCAAGUUUAAGCAUGCUGGGUGGACAUGGGUUCUCAUGAGUCUUAAACAUGGAUCAAUUGGUGAUGUUUUGGUGUUGGAAUUAUUGGAAAAUAUUGAGUAUGUGAUUUUUAAUGAGCUUUCGAUCGCAGACUGUUCUGCUGAAAACUGUGAAUUCUGCUUUAGAUAUGUAACUUCAUUUGAGCGUAUCUUGGUCAUUCAGACUCUGUUUAGGACAAAUUUUAUAUCAAAAUUCAUGUACCGGAGGUGUACUUUCUAAUGGUGGUGGUUUCAUAAUCUGGUUUUAACCCUAUAAGAAGUUAUGGUCGAAAUACAACAGGAUGGUCAUGGUUUCAAAUCGAUUUUAAGAGUUAUAUCAUAUUUAUACUCUUACGUUGAAUUGGGGGCACUUCUAAGCCUUAAGAUGGACAUAUUUGUAUUCGUUGGGUAUUGUCUAAUACCUUAUUAGUUUUAUAAUUUGGUAUCAAAUGAUUGUUAAAUGGUUUAGGGGUGUUGGUGGCAUUGUUAACCUCAUUUGACACUUGUUAGCAUGGUGAAUGUAUUAUGGGGUGUAUCAUAUAUUUACUUAAACAUUCUAAGGGAUUCAUAUGCUGAUAUGGUAGCUUGUGGCUAGGUAACAAGCCGGUCAAAUAGGAGGUGCCGAAAUCGUAAGUUUGGUGUAUAUCUCGGUCGAUGCAAAGGUAGCAGGUUGCGUAGAGUGGGUCCACUACCGGUCAUCGUGUUGAGAAGUGUUUGGGCUAGCAUUAGAUGAUGUGGAUGAACGAGUUGGUUGUAGGUAGUAAACUAAAAAGUUGAUUUAUGUAAGUUAUAAAUAAGUCGUUGGUGGAUGUAUUAAAGUGUAAAAUUUUUAAAGUAUUGUAAAACUAUAUUGUUGUUUAGUUGUGCGAGAUCGUGGUUGGUUGGUCGAUACGUCGACUCAUUUUUAUGUUAA